rnacentral:rRNA from 1 species
CCUACGGGUGGCAGCAGUGGGGAAUAUUGGGCAAUGGGCGCAAGCCUGACCCAGCAACGCCGCGUGAAGGAAGAAGGCGUUCGGGUGGUAAACUUCUUUUAAGAGGGCAGAGCAGAAGACGGUACCUCUUGAAUAAGCCACGGCUAACUACGUGCCAGCAGCCGCGGUAAUACGUAGGUGGCAAGCGUUGUCCGGAUUUAAUGGGUGUAAAGGGCGUGGAGCCGGGCUGCCAAGUCAGAUGUGAAAUUCCGGGGCUCAACCCCGGACCUGCAUUUGAAACUGGUGGUCUUGAGUAUCGGAGAGGCAGGCGGAAUUCCUAGUGUAGCGGUGAAAUGCGUAGAUAUUAGGAGGAACACCAGUGGCGAAGGCGGCCUGCUGGACGACAACUGACGGUGAGGCGCGAAAGCGUGGGGAGCAAACAGGAUUAGAUACCCGGGUAGUC